CCUACGGGGGGCUGCAGUGGGGAAUAUUGGACAAUGGGGGGAACCCUGAUCCAGCCGUGCCGCGUGUGUGAAGAAGGCCCUCGGGUUGUAAAGCACUUUCAGUGAGGAAGAACGCCUGGUGGUUAAUACCCAUCAGGAAAGACAUCACUCACAGAAGAAGCACCGGCUAACUCCGUGCCAGCAGCCGCGGUAAUACGGAGGGUGCGAGCGUUAAUCGGAAUUACUGGGCGUAAAGCGCGCGUAGGUGGCUUGAUAAGCCGGUUGUGAAAGCCCCGGGCUCAACCUGGGAACGGCAUCCGGAACUGUCAAGCUAGAGUGCAGGAGAGGAAGGUAGAAUUCCCGGUGUAGCGGUGAAAUGCGUAGAGAUCGGGAGGAAUACCAGUGGCGAAGGCGGCCUUCUGGACUGACACUGACACUGAGGUGCGAAAGCGUGGGUAGCAAACAGGAUUAGAUACCCUUGUAGUC
rnacentral:rRNA from 1 species